UUUAAAAAAACUCCUAAACUCCUCUCUCUCUCUCGGUCUGCCAGCCCAGAAGCCGACGAGGUGCAGGCCGGUCGCCACCGUGCCGUUCGCCAUGCCGGCCACGGUGGAGAUGAAAAAUGGUAAGAAAUUUUACAUUUUUUUAUUUUUAAAACAUAUAUAUAUGUAUAUGCGGGCAAAAUUGGUUAAAAAGAAAGAAGAUGAGGAUGAAUCACCUUCAACUGUUUAGCUUUCUACUCUGUUUGGACUGUUUUUGUUGUUUUAUAUUGCUAGAGAUUCUCCGCUUGAAAUCGAGUGAUGUUUGUUUUUUAUUUUCACAAAAAAAACGAUGAACUUUCAAAUGGUUUUGGAUUCGGCUUUAUAUAGCCAUUACAAAUCCUUUUUUACAUUGUCUUUUUUUUGCAGGAAAAUGGGCGGUGGAGCAGAGGCCAUUUGCACUGUUGACAUGACUGGGGCAGUGGGAGUCAGAGGCGGUGGAGGCAAGUGGUGAUGGGACGGUGCUGAUUAGGCUAGGGUUCUUUCUCCUUCUAUUUUGUGUUUAAGUUUUGGGUAAAUUGGGUUAGGGGAUAUUUGUUGUUAUUUGGGCCCAAAAUUGGGCUUGUACAGCUGUCUCUCUUUGCUUGUUGUCGUGUAACGAGAACAGAGCAAAGACUUAAGAAAGACCAAUUUUGAUCGGUCUUACCAUGUCUGGACUUGUUUAGCACUCCUUUUCUCCAGGUAGCUUUAUUCCAAUCUUGUUGCUUCACUCCGCUUCACUGCUCUACUGCGGCUUCAAGAAGGUAAGGUUUGUUUUGAUCUGCUCCGCUGCAACUCUAUGGAGAUAAGACAUGUGACUUCAAUGCUCUCCAGUGCAAUUUCAAGGAGAAGCGAUUUGUGAUUUCCAACCUGAUACCCUACUGCUUAGGGGUUUAGGCUCAUCGCUUUUGAUCUGUUUCCCUCUUACUUAGGGGGUUAAGAUCCGUAAAUUCAGUUUGCUCCACUUACGGCUUCAGGGAGAUGAGACUUGCUGGAUUCAAUCUGUUCCACUGCAACUUCAGGGAGACAAGAUCUAUAAUUUUCAACCUAUUACCCUACUGCUUAGGGGGUUAAGGUCUGUAAAUUUGGCUUGCUACCCUACUGCUUAGGGGGUUAAAGCCCAUCGUUUUUGAUCUAUUUCCCUACUGCUUAGGGGGCUAAGAUCUGUAAAUCUUUAGCCUGUUACCCUACUGCUUAGGGAGUUAAGGCUUGGUGGUUUGAAUCUGCUUCACUGCAACUUCAGGAAGGCAAGAUUCGCUGUCUUUUGAUCUGCUUCCCUACUGCUUAGGGUGAUAAGAUCUUAUGAACGUCAGCUUGUUACCCUACUGCUUAGGGAGUUAAAGCUCGUUGCCCUCGAUCUGUUUCCCUACUGCUUAGGGGGUUAAGAUCUUUGAAUUUAACCUGUUACCUUUCUGCUUAGGGAUUUAAGGUCUGUAAAUUUGGCUUGUUACCCUACUGCUUAGGGGGUUAAAGCCCAUCGCUUUUGAUCUAUUUCCCUACUGCUUAGGGGGCUAAGAUCUGUAAAUCUUUAGCCUGUUACCCUACGGCUUAGGGAGUUAAGGCUUGGUGGUUUGAAUCUGCUUCACUGCAACUUCAGGAAGGCAAGAUUCGCUAUCUUUUGAUCUGCUUCCCCACUGCUUAGGGUGAUAAGAUCUUAUGAACGUCAGCUUGUUACCCUACUGCUUAGGGAGUUAAAGCUCGUUGCCCUCGAUCUGUUUCCCUACUGCUUAGGGGGUUAAGAUCUGUGAAUUUAACCUGUUACCUUACUGCUUAGGGAUUUAAGGUCUGUAAAUUUGGUUUGUUACCCUACUGCUUAGGGGGUUAAAGCCCAUCGCUUUUGAUCUAUUUCCCUACUGCUUAGGGGGCUAAGAUCUGUAAAUCUUUAGCCUGUUACCCUACUGCUUAGGGAGUUAAGGCUUGGUGGUUUGAAUCUGCUUUUAGGAACAUGACCUAUAGAAUUAGUUCCAUGUAUUUAUGCUUAUGCCAAAGAAUUAGGAUGCUAUGAUCAAAAUGAAUCAAAUGUUCCUAAUUAGAUGCAUUAUGAAUGAUCUAUGAAUGUAUGAGUGCAACAUGUUGUGAGCGUGAAUCCCUUUUAAUGUUUAGGUUGCCAUUGCUCUUUGUUCAUCAAAGUUCUUUCACUGAAAUGGUACCAUGUCUUCUUGUUCAGCUCAAAUUUUGAACAGAAAACCCGAAGAGGUAGUCCCAAUUUAAACUCUUUCUUCUCAUAUGCUUCCAGUCUUUGAGUUUGGUUAGUUCUAAAUAAUAGUCCUGUUUUAGGUUCCUAUACUAUUUAGAAACUUUUAGAGCAAUAUGCAAAACUCUUUUUGCGAAAAUGGCUUUUAGUCCAUUAAUCAUCAUUUCAAUGCAAAAUGCUUGAAAAAGAUUACAAUAAUGAUGGAACUGAAAUUUAUCAGAAAUAAAAUUUGAAGGGAAUGGAUUCAUCACGGUCAACAAACAUUGCUGGAAUACAAAAUGAAUAAGAAGGGAAUAGGUGCCUCAGAUAUCGCAGCGUGAGCUUCUCUGUACUGACUUCUUGAGGACUUCUUUUUGCCCAAUAUGUGUUUAGGGGAUCUAGAGUACUCUUGUAGAUGCCCCAAAAUGUAACAUCUCUCCUCCUUGUUAAUUUAGGUAUCAUAAGACCAUCGCAUGCCCCACCUUUGAUCAAAAUUUGAAUCGUCAUUUACGGGUUUUCAAUUCAAAAUCCCUUUGGUCUCAAGGUGCUCUUUGCGAGUUUUCACCCUGGCCUCUCCCCUUUUUUUAGGCGAAGCAUUUCUUAACCGAAUCUGAAUUCACAGGAUUGGGUAAAAUCUUGCCAUCCAUUUCAGCCAAUAUCAAUGCUCCGCCAAAAAAGACUUUCUUCACCACAUAAGGUCCUUCCCAAUUCGGCAUCCAUUUUCCUCUGAAAUCCUUUUGUAUGGGCAGGAUCUUUUUCAAUACUAGGUCUCCCUCGUGGAAUUCUCUAGGGUGAACCUUUUUGUUGUAGGCUCACAUCAUUUUUUUUUGGUACAUCUGACCAUGGCGAAUAGCCCUUAGCCCCUUUUCUUCAAUCAAAUUCAACUGAUCGUAUCGGGACUGGAUCCAUUCUACUUCAUCCAACUUUAUCUCUGACAAAACUCUGAGGGAAGGAAUCUCGACCUCGAUAGGUAAAACCGCCUCCAUUCCAUAAACCAAUGAGAAAGGCGUUGCCCCGGUGGAGGUCUUGACAAACGUUGGAUAAGCAUAAAGGGCGAAUGGUAGCUUUUCAUGCCAGUCUCUAUAAGUUUCAGUCAUUUUUCCCACAAUCUUCUUAAUGUUUUUAUUAGCUACCUCGACUGCACCGUUCAUUUUUGGGUGAUAUGGUGACGAGUUGUGGUUUCUGAUCUUGAACUGACUGCAGACAUCCGCUAUCGUGCUGUUAUUUAAAUUCAAUACGUUGUUAGAUAUGAUCUUCUCUGGCAUUCCAUAACGACAAAUGAUUUUCUUUUUUAGGAAUUUGCUAACUGCAAAUUUUGUAACAUUGGCAUAUGAAGCGGCCUCCACCCACUUGGUGAAAUAAUCGAUGACCACAAAGAUAAAUCGAUGCCCAUUUGAAGCUUUUGGUGAAAUUGGCCCAAUCACAUCCAUGCCCCACAUCGAGAAAGGCCAUGGAGAAGUCAUAACAUGCAGAGGUGAAUGAGGCACGUUAAUCCUGUCUCCAUAGAUUUGACACUUAUGACAUCUUUUGGCAUAGCUAAUACAGUCUCCUUCCAUGGUGGACCAAUAAUAACCGAACCUCAUAAUUUGCCUGGCCAUUGUAAAGCCAUUAGCAUGUGUCCCGCAGAUGCCCUCAUGGACUUCUUUCAAGAUUUUCUUAGCCUCAAUAGCGUCUACACAUCUUAAUAGUACAUGAUCAUUCCUUCUUUUGUACAGGAUCUCCCCAUCUAAGACAUAGUCACUGGCCAGUCUUCUCAACAUUCUCUUGUCAUUCUCAGUAACUUGGUUGGGGUACUCACGAUUCUUCACAUAUCGUAGGAUAUCGUGGUACUAAGGGUGAUCAUCAUUUUCCUCUUCUUCUUCGAGGUUGUAACAAUGAGCCGGGACCUCGCAAAUGCUCAUUUGGAUUGGUUUCACAUCCUCUGGUUGGUUCACCUUGAUCAUAGAAGCUAAAGUUGCUAGGGCGUCAGCCAUCUGAUUUUCCUCUCGCGGGAGGUAGCAGAAGACAAUAUCAUCAAACUCUUUAAUUAAUUCGAGGAUCAGCCUUCGAUGAUUGAUCAACUUGGGGUCUCUCGUCUCUCAUUCACCUUUGAGUUGAUAAAUCAUUAGCGCAGAAUCUCCGUAUACUUCUAACACCUUGAUUUUACGCUCUAUGGCUACGCGUAUUCCCAUAAUACAUGCUUCGUAUUCUGCCAUGUUGUUUGUGCAGUCGAAAUCCAUUUUACUAGUGAAUGGAUAAUGUUCACUGUUUGGGGAUACCAAGACUGCCCCGAUUCCGUUACCCACAGCAUUUGAUGCUCCAUCAAAGUUUAGCUUCUAAGGAUGACCUUCUUAAGGGUCUUCUUCAGUGGUUGCCACGUACAUCAAAUCUUCAUUAGGAAAAUCAAAGUUCAGAGGCUCGUAAUCUUCUAGAGCUCUACUGGCUAGAAAAUCCGCUAUUGCACUCCCUUUUACAGCUUUCUGAUUUACAUAGACGAUAUCAAAUUCGAAAAGUAGAAUUUGCCAUCGGGCCAAUCUUCCAUUUAAAGUAGUUGAUUCCAUCAAGUACUUCAGAGGAUCCAGUUUAGAAAUCAGCCAAGUUGUGUGGUACAACAUGUAUUGUCUCAGUCUUCGGGUUGUCCAGAUUAAGGCACAACACAACUUUUCAAUGAACGAGUAUCUCAUCUCACACUCAGUAAAAUUUUUACUGAGGUAAUAUACCGCUCUUUCUUUCCUUCCUGAUUCAUCGUGUUGCCAAGCACGCAUCCUAUAGAAUUUUCAAAUACCGUCAAAUACAAUAUCAAUGGCUUAUCUGGACUAGGUGGUAUCAACACUGGGGCAUUAGACAAAUAUUUCUUAACUUUGUCGAAAGUCUUCUGGCAUUCCCCAUCCCAAACACUAGGGUUGUGUUUCUUAAGGAGACGGAAUAUGGGGUCACAUUUCUCGGUUAGUUGUGAAAUAAACCAAGCAAUGUAAUUUAAUCUUCCUAGGAAUCCCUGAACUUCUUUCUGAGUACGUGGUGGAGAUAACUCUUGUAUGGCUUUGACUUUAUCUAGGUCAAUCUCAAUCCAUUUUUCACUGAUCACGAAUCCUAGCAGUUUUCCUGACCUGGCCCCGAAGGUACACUUUGCUGGAUUGGGUUUCAGCUGGAAUUUCCUCAACCUAGAAAAUAAUUUCCUCAAGACCUACACAUGCUCUUCUUCAAGUCGAGAUUUGGCGAUCAUGUCGUCGACAUAGACUUCAAUUUCUUUAUACAUCAUAUCAUGGAAUAGGGUUACCAUGGCUCUCUAAUAUGUUGCUCCUGCAUUUUUCAAUCCGAACGGCAUUACUUUAUAGCAAAAGGUUCCCCACAUGGUCACAAAUGUGGUUUUAUUCAUGUCUUCAGGAUGCAUCUUGAUCUGAUUGUACCCCGAGAAACCAUCCAUGAAGGAGAAGAGUGAGUAACCUACCGUGUUCUCCACUAAGGUGUCAAUAUGAGGCAAUGGGAAAUUAUCCUUCGGGCUGGCUUUGUUUAAGUCUCUGUAGUCUACACACACCCGUACUUUUCCAUCUUUUUAGGGACGGGGAUGAUGUUGGCUACCCAUUCCGAGUACUUAACUACUUGUAAGAAACCAGCAUCAAAUUACUUCUUGACCUCCUCUUUUAUUUUUAACAAAACAUCGGGCCCCAUCCUUCGAAGCUUUUGCUGAACUGGCUUGCAUUCUUCUUUGAUGAGGAGCCUGUGUACCACAAUGUCAGUACUUAGCCCAGGCAUAUCUUGAUAUGACCAUGCAAAGACAUCCUUGAACUCUUGGAGUAACUCAAUAAGGUUCCUCUUUGUCUCUAUGGUAAUGCAAGCUCCGAUCUUUACUUCUUUCCUUUCUAGUUCAUCUCCCAAGUUCACGACUUCUACAGUCUCUUUGUGGGGUAGAAUCUGUUUCUCCUCGUGUUCUACCAUCCUUAACAAAUCAGGGGAUAAGUUACAGUCUCCGUCAUCCUCAAAGUCUUGAGAUCCCUCUAGACAAAUAUCCCGCUCAAAAGAAGACUCUGAAUUAGUAGCAACGUCACUCACAUCAUUGAUAUCCGGAGACCUGUUGUGGGUGCGAAGGAGGAUACAAAGAACAAGAGAAUCUAAGAACAAUGAUAUGUAUGGUAUGAUCAUGAAUGAAAGAAAAAAAAAUAUUUGCACGGAAUAAGUCAAAAGGAUGCACUUCAUUGAAAUAACGAUUUCGAACAUAAGCCUAUUUCACAAAGGACACUUAUUACUCCUAGGCCUAGAGCAAUAAGUGUGUUCUGGACAUUACUCUGAGUUAGUUUUAAAGACUACAGGAAUCUCUUCCGCAGUCCAAUUAUUCAGAACACUUCCCGGCUUAUAGGGGCGAAUGCCCGACAAAUUCUCUACCCCAGUUCCUUCUUCAUAUAUGGCGUUAAUGUCCAAACUCUCCAUCAUUCCUUCCACGAUUUCCUUUCCCGAUAUCUUCUGCUCGGAGUGAAUGACCCUUCCAAACACAAAAGUCUUCAAUAUAUAAAGGCAGAUCAUUGGUUCCCAUUCAAUUUCUCCCCCACUCAAUCGCGCUCUCCUUCUUUCUUGCUUCUUUUCUAGCUCUUUCUUUCUUUGUUUCGUGUCUGGCUUAAAUCCUAACCCAAAACGGUCUUGUUUGUCCUUCACCGUUGGUGCAUUAAUCCUUCCCUGGAGAUAUCUCCCGAGUCCUUUUCCGGGUAGGGCCCAUUUUCCAACAAUUAGUCGUAGUCCCAUUCUUGUAGUCUCAAAUAACCUGGGCAUUGGAAUCCUAUUUCCUUCGAUAAUGAAUGUCGUGUUCACAAACUCCAAAGAUUGAAAAGACCACCCGAUUGCUUCAUCAUUUGCCUCUAGAUAUAGGGCAUCACUGGUUAUUGCUGCGAUGAUGUCCUCUUCAGCAUUGAUCAUUACUAACCGACCUUCAGUCACUAAUUUUAACUUUUGGUGCAACGAUGAAGGGACUGCCCCUGCCGAGUGUAUCCAUGGCCUUCCCAAUAGGCAAUUAUAUGAAGGCUUAAUGUCCAUGACCAGAAAAUCUACUUCGUACGUGCUCGGUCCGAUUAAGAGGGGUAUUUCAAUUCUCCCCAUUACCUUCCUUUCCGUGCCAUCAAAUGCUCUCACUAUACUUUGGCAUGUCUUUAUAUGGGAACUAUCCAUGGCAACCUACUCAGUGUAGAUAGGGGUAGGACAUUCAGUGCAGACCCAUUGUCAAUCAAUACCCCCGGUAAUGUGUACCCUUUACAGCGAGUCGUGAUGUGCAAAGCUUUAGUUGAUCCUCGGCCACCUAGAGGUACCUCAUUGUCAUUGAAGUAUAUGAAGUUGUCGGCACUUAUAUUGUUGACUAAGCGGUCGAGUUUGUUUACAGAGAAAUCAUUAGCAACAUAAGUUUCAUUCAGCACCUUCAUCAAUGCGCUGCGAUGGGUUUCGGAGCUUAAAAGUAAGGUCAGUACUGAUAUACGAGCUGGCUGUUUGUGCAACUGUUCUACGAUGCUAUAUUCGCUGUGCUUUAGAAAUUUUAAAAAUUCCUUGGCUUCUUUUUCAGUCACUGAUUCAUUAACAGUUAGUUCAGGCCCCGCCGGCUUCUCUUUCUUUUAAUUAAUUGCUAAUGAUUUUUCUUUAACCUGCUCAACUUUUGUAUUUGGGGUAUAACGCCUUCCGCUGUGCGUAUAAAAACAUUCAUCUUGAACUUCCUCUGAUACAUUAAUCGGGGUCUCCUCUCCCGGGAAUGUCACAUUGCAGCUAUAGUUCUACGGUACCCUUUUGCUAUCUUUAUAAGGGAAAGCAACGGGCUUUUGGAUCACGACCUUUGGCGCAACUUGUGCUCCGCUUCAUUUAUUCUCAGACAUGAUAUGAUAACCACUGGGUGGUUGACUUUGUAAACAUCCUUCAUUGAUCCUUCUUCGGAGGCACACACAUCUGUUUCUUUCGGGCUCCCGACAUAUUCGAAGAAUUCCAGCUCCUUAUUAUCUAUCAAUCCUUGUAACACAGCCCUGAAUUCGCUGUAUUUCUGAAUCUCAUGAUCCUCUUGGUCAUAGAACUCGCAAUAAUUCUUCGCUUCUCGAGGUUUGACCCUUGAAUUAUGUGCUAUCAAACCUCUUUCCACCAUUUUCUUCCAUACUUCUUUCAAUGGGGUAUUCACUUCUGCAAUAUUCAUCUUAAUUUCUUUCCCCAAACUCUCGAUUAUCACAUUUAUUCCCUUAUACCCAUGGUUAGGUAAUGGAUUCUCUGCACUGGAUGUAUCAUCAAAUUUCACAAUCCCCAUGUUGAUGAGUCUUUCAACCAAUUUCUUGAAAGUGGUGCAGUUUUCUAUCGAGUGUCCUAUGGCUCCCGCAUGGUAUUCGCAUUGGGCAUUUGCGUCAUACCAUUUGAGGUAUGGAGGUUGCAUUGGCUUUAGAUAGAAGGGAGACACGACAUGUGCAUCAAAUAAACUUUGGUAUAACUCCUUGUACGUCAUUGGAAUGGGCAUAAAUUGGAGUUUCUCCCUAUUUUGUUUUGUGUUGGGCUCUUGUCUGGGUGGGCCCUGCUGUCCAGUAGUUGUUGACCUUGGUUGGCUUACGGUGAUCGACUUCGAAUAUGAGCUCACAUUAUUCACCUCGUGCUCUUUCUUUCUCGGCGCUGACCUCUUAGCAUUUUCCCCAGCCUCUAUUUUCCCACAUCUUAUGGCAUUUUCUAUCAUUUCUCCAGACAUUACUAUGUCUGAAAAACUCUUGGUUGUGCUACCCAGCAUGUGGUUAAUAAAAGGUGUCUUUAGGGUAUUGAUGAAGAGUAUAGUGGUUUCCUUUUCUAACAGAGGGGGUUGGACCUGUGUGGCCACCUCUCUCCAUCGCUGGGCGUACUGCCUAAAGCUCUCAUUAUGAUUUUUCUCCAUAUUCUGUAAAGUGAUUCUAUUAGGGGCUAUGUCUGUCAUAUGACCGUACUACUUCAUGACGGCUUGUGCUAAAUCUUUCCAUGAACUGACCUGGGCGCGACUCAAUUGGUUGUACCAUCUAGAAGCGGCCCCAACCAGACUUUCUUGGAAGCAGUGAAUUAAUAGUUGGUCAUUAUUGACAUGGCCUGCCAUUCGUCUGCAGAACAUAGUGAUGUGAGCUUCGAGACAGCUAGUCCCGUUGUAUUUCUCAAAUUCCAGAGUUUUGAACUUGGGAGGGAGUACCAGGUUCGGAACCAAACUUAAUUCCUUAGCGUCGAUUCCACCACGAUAGUCAGUGCUUUCCAUUUCUUUAAAUUUUUCUUCUAACCAUCUACACCUUUCUUCAAGCUCUCUCGGGAGUUCUAUCCUUGCCUUUUCUGUUUCUGUUACUUCAUCAAGAUUGAGGACCAUAGGGUUGGUCGGUUUAUCCCCCGGAUUAGAGCCCGAGCUGGCCUGAUAAUUCAUCGGUGCCGAAACACCGGCCUGAAAUGGUUAGGGCCUAAUUGUGACCGAUGGCCUUCUUGGGUACAUAUCAGGUUGUGUCUGAACGUCCGCUAGGGCAAAACCCGGAGGGUAGGUAGGAUCUUUAUUAUCAUCUCCCGCAUUGAUCAAGGGGCUUUUCCCUUUUUCCAACCCGCCAGCCAAUAAACGCGUUAGUUGGUCCAUCAUGCUUUUCUAGGACUCCAGCAUCUAGUCCUUCAUAUUUUGCUGGAUUUUGGCAAGCUGUUCUUGCAUACGUGUUUGUAAUUGAUCCUGCAUCUCUUUUUGCAUUUGUUUCAAUCUCUCUAACCUUUGAUCUAUUGCUUUUGUUUUUCUUCUUGUACCGUAACGAUGUUCCAGGGUAACUGCCAUGAUUUUUAGGGUUUUUUGUGAGUUUUAGUGCGUGUGAUUCAAUGCUGAUGCAUGAAUGCAAUGAAUGCGAUGAAUGCAAAAAAGCGUUGAUUCCAAUUCGAUUUCAUUAGAAUAAAUUUCUAGAAAACAAGUUUCUUUACAUAAAAUAGAUUACAUAUAAGGCUUGGCCCUGAUACUUAAGGCCUUGACCUGUCUAAGAAGCCAAGCUAGCUCUCGACCUCGGUCCGAUUUCGACUCAUAUUUUAAACUCAGCACAUCGGCUUGUACUGCUAAUGUUUGCAAGUGAUCGGCCACUUCUUGCACUUGAGUCAAAGCUUCGCCCAUGACGUAGUCCCUGCUUCUGACUUGGUCUUGAGAUUGAUGAAGUUGCUCCUUCCAUCGCUCGUUAUUUACCUCGAGGAGUUCUAUUUGAAGAUCACGAUUUUGUAGCGCUGUUUUGAGUUCUUCUAUAUUCUCUUUUAAUUCUUCGAUUCUGUUCUGACUAGCUUUCAACUCGAUUGCAGAGUUACGCGAGCGAUACUGAUACAAUGACCUCUCUAACUCUGAUACCCGGAUCUUCAACCCUUCUUUCUCAUUCUGGCUUUCUACCAAACUUCUUUUUAGAGCACCUUCUCGAGCUUGAGCAUCUCGGAAUUUUUAUUCCCAUUGGUUGGCUUUACUUUGUUCUUCUUUAACUUCUUGUCGCCACAGUUCCGAUGUUUUUCCUAACCCAGCGGUUCUCAUUGAUCUACGCAGCUUCUUAUAGUCUGUUUUCAAACUGUCCAAGUCCCCUUUAGCCUUGUUUUUCCCUUUUCUGAGUCUUUCAACUUCUAGUUUCUGGACGUCGACAUCUAACCCUAACUGCAUCUUUUCUUCUUCCAACAGCUCGAUCCUUUUUUCUAGCUCCAGACUUUUUCUCUCGAAAUCUUGCCUAAUGAUUUCUAGCUCAGACGGGAUUACUUUCAAGUGUUCUUCUAUCGACUGAGGAUUCCCUUGAUCUGAUGUAGGGAUGUUGUCGUUAAUCCUCUGAUUCCACCAUCGGUCGUACUCAGGAGUAGUCAUGGGAUUGGCAGCAAAUUUUUUCAUUCUACGAGUCUGGUUCCAGGCAUUUGAUAUCUUGCAAACUUUCUUUUUGUAAUUAUUCCCUGUGAAUCCCUAUGAACACGAACUCGCACUAGGCUAACCCAUAUGUUGGUGGUGUAAACUGUCUGGAUCUGUACUGUCGCAAUACAAGCAGAGGAGCAUACCCGACGGCUCCCCAUACUCCUAACAAGGGAACCUAAUCGAAGUCUCCACAUCGGUAUAAUAUUUCAUCGGGAACCAUCCAAGGGGCUCUCCAUUCAACAUCUUCUUCUCGCAAAUUUUGGAGAACCGUCAUCCAAUUUUCUUCUGUAACAUCAUCUCGCCUCGGUGUUGCCACUAACUCUUUCAGUGGAGAAUAACUUUCAGAGAAGAUACGAUAGGAAACCUUUUCCACUUUCCAAAAAUGGCUAUGGAACCAAGAUAGCAAGAGUUGUAUACAUCCAAUAAAUCUCCCUUCACCUACUCUUCUACAAGCAUUCAAUGAUCUGAAAGUUUUAGCCAAGAUUGCGGGUACAGGUGUGGUUCCUUUACCAAGCCUGUCAAAAAGACCAUAAACAACCUCGUCUACAUGCCUCAAAGCCUUGGGGAAGAUGAUCAGUCCAUAAAUGCUCAGGGCGAAGACAUCUACCCUUUUUUUCACGUUGGGGUGUGCUAAGAUUAUAUCCCUCAGGUUCCUCCAAGGAAUGCAUUUACAAUCCCCUUUUUGUUUGAUCCGGGUUGUCACCCACUGUUCGCUCAUCCCUGUGAUGUUCAUCAGCUUUUUUGAAAAUGUUGGGACGUUAGCAGGCCUGGAAUAAAUUCUGUCAACCUGAAUUUUUAGGCAAUGGAGCAAGGUCGUGUAUUCUUCUAUAGUAGGUACCAAGUCUACUUUCCCGAAGGUGAAUCAACUGUAAGCAGAAUUCCAAUAUUGGGCAAGGGCUCGAAACAGGUGUUCAUCUACCUUGACAUCGAGCAGAUAAGGUAAAUCACCGUAAUGACAAUAGAAUAGCUGUUUGACCUCAUCAUCCCACUAACCCCAAAUUUCUUUCAUCUCUUGGAGAUUAUUCUGAGUUACGCUGAUCCGAGUAAAGUUCCAUAACUCUGACACAUACCCCUCAGUAAGACUGUCACCUUUCUCUUGUUGUGUCAUCUCAGCCCAUAUCCGGACAGCCACGUUGUCUUCUACUUUAUCAAAAAAACCCCUUUUCCAUGAUAAGCUAUCUAUUUAGGAACCGAAUACGAAUCAACACCUUUUUGCGAUGAAAAUGCCAUGCAAAUACAAUCAAAGUAAAACAAAGCAAGUCAGUAUUUCAUACACAAUUCAAAGCAAACAAAGCAUAAUAAACAUAGCACUUGCUCAGGUAACCACUAGGGUUUCGGAGUGGCUCUACCUAGGGUGGGUUCUUAAGGCUUGCUAUAUGGGGUUUGGUUCUAGAGUAAGGGUACCCGAACCAGUAGAUUCCUCGAUCUUCACCCAUUUAUAGGCUCAUAUAGACCGAGUUCAGUUCAGGGGAAUACAUUUCCCUAUGGCUGCACGGAGAUGAAAAUCUCACGAAGACAUAGGUACGGAUGUAUCCCGAAAGUGAUCCACUAUCCUGCACGGAGGUGAAAACCUCACGAAGGAGUAGUUUCUCACUCCUACUUAAAGGGGUGUGACCACAGCGGUCAUGCAAUGCAAUAUGCAAAACCAUUUAAAGACUCGAACCAACGCAGCAGGUAUUGUAUCAUAAACCAAAAAAUAGCUGAUGAAAUGUAAUGAAAGGAUCGUAUUUCAAAACCAAAUUUUUAAUUUUCGAUAAAAAGACAAAAGUUAAUCAACUUGUGGCUUGACUCUCUUAUUUGGUGUCCCCAGUGGAGUCGCCAAGCUGUUGUAACCAUUUUUUGGAAGACGGGGAUCGACUUGGAUUUGAAAACGAAAAUGAAAAAUGGGAGUCGCCACCAAUCCUUUUUGAUGAGGUGUGAUCGGAUCACCUUAAAUUAAUCAUUUUAAUAAAAGUUAAGAUUUACUAAGACGAUAAUUUUUUUGGUCUACGAAAAUCAGAAAAUGAGUUCGGGAGUCAAUUACGCACGAGGAAGGGUUAGCACCCUCGCUACGCCCAAAAUUGGUACCUAGUUGAUUAAUUAGUGUCUUAAUUGUCAAAAAUUGAGAACUUGAAAGACUUUGGAAUAAGAUCCCUCUUUUGUAAAAUAAACAUUAAAAUGUCAAAGACAUUCUCGUCUCGAGGCAACGAUACGUCAUAUCCAGUAAGUUAGGAUACGACAUCUCGAACUUUUGAGAAUGAGCUUGCCUUUUAUUUAAAAUCGAUGUAUUUUAACUUCUUUUGAAAGGAUAUUCAGUUAGUUAGGGUGAACGAGGAAAAUCGAAACCCAGUAAGUUAGGGCACGUUUCCUCGAAUUUUCGAACACCGAACAUUGCCUUUAUUUGCAAAAGAUCUUAUUUCGAGGUAUCAAAAUGUCAUACCCGGUAAGUUAGGGCACCACACCUCGAAGCUCCAAAAAUAAGCAUUUUUUUAGACUCAUAUUUAAAAGAAUAUUCCAUUUAUUUAGGUUGAAUGAGACAAAUCAAGACCCGGUAAGUUAGGGCACGAUUGUCUCGAUGUAAUAGCCUAAAUUCAAGGUUAUCGGAACAGUGGUUUCGUAACCACAAAUCCGAUUUAAAGAGAAAUUUAUUUCAAUAUUUUUGCAUGAAAAUUGAUAUGAUAGGAAAAUCGUAUGAAAAUAUUGAUAGAAAGAUUUUACCGAUUUAGUGAUUAGUUAGAAAAGGAAAUUAUUGAAGAAAUUGGGUAAAAACAAGAUAUUGGGACCUCUAUCUUGUAAAACCGAUUCGAAAAUAAUUUUAUAAAUAUUUAUGAAAUGUUAUUAGUGUGGUAUUAAAAUUUCGUUAGGAAAUUUUAAUGUUUGGGUAGUCAAUUAAAUGAAAAGGACUAAAUUGUAAUAGGUGUAAAAGUCACUAGAAUGAUUAAAUAGCUUAAAAGUCUAAUGAGAAAGGAUUUAAAAGGCAAUUAGACCCAAAAUUUAUUUGAGCUAGACGGCAAGGGCAUGAAAUCAGCAGAAAAAUUGAUAAAUUAAGGGUAAAAUUGGAAUAUUGCAAAAUUAACUAAAUAAAACUAGGACUAAAUAGGAAAUAUCUAGAUUUCUCUUCAUUUCUCUUCAAUUCCAGCAGCUAAAAAUGCCAUAGGAGGGUUCUCUAAGCUGGUAUUUCAUAAUUUUUGCACCAAGUGAGUUAAUCCUUGCCUUUUUCUUGUAAUUUUUGUGUUUCUAAGACUUUUGCAACUAGGUCCUACUAUUAAAUUCAUUAGUUUUUGAUUUCAUGGAUGAAAUUGAAAGUCACCAUGGUUGAGUGCUGUAAGUUUAUGAUGAAAUAGAAUGAAAUUAAAGCUUUAAUUUGUUUAUGAUAUGAUUUUAUUAGGACCUAAUUGUGAAAAUGCUUGGAAUUAAAGUCUAUUGCUGAAAUUCUGAUUCCUAAAGGUUGUCAACUAGUUUAAGGUGAUAGAAUAAAAUAUUAAUUGAGAAAAAUCAGCUCAAUUGAGAGGCUAAUUGAGUAGGGACGAAAUUAUCAUUUAUUAAAAGCUUAGGGGAAAAAUGGUAAUAAACAGCUUGCACAAAAACAGUUUGGACAGCAGCAGUAGACUAACUUUGAAAAAUCACCAUAAAUUGUAGAAAUCGAAUUAGAAGAUGAAAAAAAUAUAGAAUUAAAUCUUAUUAAGUCUAGUUUCUCAUAGAAGAAAUAGUGUAAGAAAUGGAUUUGUAAAUUUUGAGAUAUAAUGAAUUUUGUGAGACAAGGUCAGAAUGAAUUCGGGUUCCCCUGUUCUGAAUUUGAAAACUCAUAAAAAAAUUGAAUAAAAACAAUUAGGGGCUUAAAUUUAUAUGUAUAGAAUCCUUAAUGAGUCUAUUUUUAAGAUAAACAAACGAGAACAUCAUUUGAAUUCUUUAUGAAGAGAUAAUUAAUUUUUAGUGAAGAAGGGUCAGAACUGUCGACAGCAGAACAGGGGUGACUUUGAAGAAUAAACUGUACUGAUUGGCUAAAACAAAAAUUCUGAAAUUUUUAUGGUAAAAAUAUAUAUGAGUCUAGUUUCAGGGAAAAUUAACAGAUCUUAAUUUGGAGUUCCGUAUCUCAAGUUAUAAAUAAUUUAGUGACUAUGACUCAAGUAGACAGCUUUGAAUGAACUAUAAAUAAUAGUUGAAUUAUAGAGAAUGUUGCAUAUGAACAUGAAAUGUAUUAAAUUGAUAAUUAAAUUUAUUUAUUUAGAUCCAGAAGAUUCAAAUACGAAGCUAGAUCGAGGAAAGGAAAAAGUUCGGGAUUAGUAGAUUUUUACUGUUUACAAACAAGUAUCAAGGUAAGUUCAUGUAACUUGAAUUAUAUUCUUAAAUGCUUGAGAUUGUAUGUUAUUGAUGUGAAUAUGAUUAAAGUGUUCAUUGUAUGAAAUGUAACGCCCCAAUUUUCGGGAAUCCUGUGAAUGUUGGCAUAGGUUUAAUUAUGUUAGUGGGCCUCUCGAAGGCCCAAGCUUAAGAUAGAACCCGGUAAUUUUAGUUAAUUUUUGUUCCAUAAGAAAAAGGGAGUGAAAUUAUGAAAUAGGACCUAUGUGAAAAUGUUUGAAAAUGCUAUAGGCUAAAUUGAAGUGGCCAAAUAAAUAGGAGUGCAAAAUAGAAGGAUUUGCAUGACAAACCUCCCAUUUUACAUGAAGUGGCCAGCCAUCAUGUUGUUGUAGACAAAAUGUACACUUGAUAUCCAUAAUUUAUGGUACAAAUUGAUACAAAUUGAUAAUAGGUUAGGUAAAUGUUCCAUGAUAAUAGGUUAGUUAAAUGUUCCAUGAUAAUGGGUUAGGUAAAUGUUCCAUGAUAAUGGGUUAGGUAAAUGUUUCAUGAUAAUGGGUUAGGUAAAUGUUUCAUGAUAAGAAUUUCAUGUCUUUUGUAUUAAAAAAUUAAAUGGAUGAAAUAUGAAGUUUUAUUAAAAAAAAGGGGUGAAAAGAACAAAGUUUUGUCCAUCUUUGUUCAUCAUAGCUGAAAGUUAGAGAAGAGAAAGGAGAGGAGAAAGCUCUUGAGUAUUCGGUCAUUAGGAGGAGGAAAAUUGAAGGUAAGUUCUUGGUACCUUGCUUCUAUUUUGAGGUUCAUGAGUUCUUCUUGAUUCUACCUUAACUCUUGAAGUAUAUUUUGAUUUUUAGUUGUGUUGUGAGCAUUUAGUCAUGAAUUAAAAUGAAGUAAAUGGUUGUUGUUUCAUGUUCUUUUGAUGAAAAAUGAAAGAUAGGUGAAGUUGAGCCAAACAAAUGAGCAUGCAUGUGCCUUAGAUGUUAAAGGGAAAAAUCAGCUAACAUGUUUUGCUUUAAAAUGAUGAAAUGGAGAUUAUACUUAAGUAAAAUCAUAGAUAUGUGAUGAUUGAUUGGUGAUAUACAUGUUUAAAUAACAUGCAUGCAAGGUAUGUGUGAAAGAGUGAUUUGGUAAUAAAUCUGCUUGGGACAGCAGCAGUAAUGUGACUUUGGAAAAUCACCAUAAAUUGUGGGAGAAGAAUUAGAAGCUGAAUAAAUUAUGUAAUUAAAGCUUAUUGAGUCUAGUUUCUAAUGAAAUAAACAAGAACAUAUUUUGAAUUCUGUACAAUGAGAAAUUUUAUUCGUAAUGAAGGGUGGUCAGAUUAGUCAAACAGUGAAACAUGGGAAACUUUUAGAAAAAUCUGGUAUUGAUUGGCCAAACCAAAAAUUCUGAAAAUUUUAUGGAUAGAAGAUAUAUGAGUCUAUUUUCAGGCAAAAUUAAUGGAACUUGAUUUGGAGUUUCGUAGCUCCAGUUAUAAAUGAUUUAGUGACUGUCGCUCAGGAAGACAGCUUGCAGUGAAAUUAUGAUUAUGUGGUAAACAUUGACAAAAAUUUGUUAAUGAGUUGCUUAUUGUUUUCUUAUAAGCUUACUAUGAUCUGUAGGUGUGGUUGGCCGAAUAUUGUAAGGGGUUAAUACGUAGUUCGUAUUUGAAUAGUUAGAUUAACGUGUUAGUAAUCCAAUUGUAGGCGGUUCGUGUGUGGAUCUCGUCAGCAUAUCGUCGCAAACAGGUGUGUAACUAACACCCUCUUUCUUAGUCUAGAUCGGCAAAAGCCGAAAUGCCGAAAACUGGUAUUUUGUAGAUUUGCGAGUGUGCGAAUGCUCGUGAGGUAAAUCGAUUAAUGUUUUUGGUAAGCUGCAAUGUUUGGACUGCAAAGUGCAUGAUUUCUAUGCCCUCGAUAUUUUUGGGCUUAAUGGGCCAAAAUUGGAAUGAUGGGCCAACGGGCCCAAUCCGGUAAGAAACCUCGGUACGUGAUUCUGUUAGUACGUGAAAGGUAGGAAUAUGCAUGAAAAACCCUAAAAUAGAUAAAUUACUGAAAUACCUUUAAAAGUGGAAAAUUUACAGUUUUACCCCCUAGGAAAUAAAUUACCGAAAUACCCCUAGGGUUAAAUUGACCUAAAUGCAUGUUUGACUGUUGUUAUUUACUGCAUGCCAUGUUGUUAUUAUCUGAUGCAUGGGACUGGGAUAUUGACGGAGGAAGUACUGAAAGUGGCUUGUCCACGUACUGGAGGCUUUGCCUCAAUUUACUGUUAACUGAGCAGCAAGGCUGCAACUGUGGAGUGUUGGGCUGGGUGGCUUGAGCUAUUCCCCACAUGGAGUGUAUGGCUGGUACGGGUGGAGUGUAAUGGUUGGUGGGUUGAGUAGUCUCCCCAAAUGGGCUUGCAUAUGUUUACUGAUGUUGUAUGUAUUUUGAAAUGGGCCUAUGGGCCAUACUGUUAUCUAAAUAAGGGGCUAAGGCCCAGUUUAUUGUAAUCUGAAAAGGGCUCUGGCCCAGUACCACUGUUACCUGAAUGGGCUUAGGCCCAAUAGGCUUGAGCUGACUUGGGCUUUGAAUGGGUUUUCCUUACACACUGAGUUUCCCCAAACUCACCCCUUUUAUUUUCAUCCACGCAGGAAAUCCCCAACCAUAGUGGGCUUGGAGUUGUGAGGGAAUUCGGAGUGGCCACCCGUUCUGAAAGUUUGAUUUUCUUCUGGUGAACUGGACAUCCUUUUAUUUACGUUUGAAGUUUUUGGGCUUUUAAAUGUAAUAAGGCCGCUUAAUUAUUUUUGAUGGUUUUAAUAUGUAUUACUAAGAUAGGUAAUACUUAUUUUAACUGUUGAAAUUGGAUAGCUUUAGGGCGCGUUUUCAAAAACAACAGUUGAUUUCAAAAUAACACGACAACAAGCAAAGCUUUCGCAAUGAAAGUAAUUUUCCAAAAUUAAUCACUUUUCCUAAAAAUGACUUAAUCAAAUCGGUUUCCUAGAAAUAUCCAUGACGUUAAGGUGUGGCAAUGGCGGUAUGCAUGUCUAGGAUUGGAUCCGAAGGGAGCUUGGUACUUAAGCAGUCCGAUGGACUCACCACCUCUUUUCCGGUUUCCUACCUGGUGCACAGCUUCCAUUCACUUUAACCCUUAAUGAAUUAAUCUUUUGAACAUCAAGUACGAUUUUCUGGACUUAGAAUGGAAAUUUUUUUUUAAACAUUUUUUAUGUGGCAUGCCGGAUCCAGCCAUAACUUCUGGGCCGGGUUUGGGGUGUUACAUGAAAAUUAAUGAAACAUUGAUAUAUUUGAUAAAAUGGGAAGAAAUCUCGGUUGAAUGAAAGGAAAAUUCGAUGGAUCUCUGAAAAGGAAUUGACGGUAAAAAGGAUCUAGCCCGGACGGGUGAUCCUAUCCUGAUAUAGCCCUCCCGAAGAAUAUGUGUAAAAUGGAUUUAGCCCGGACGGGUAAUCCGAAUUAGGGUCUAAAUUUAGCCUGGACUGGUAAUUCAGAUCCAAGCUGAUUAGAGUAAUUGUCGUUGCAGGGGAUUUAGCCUGGACUGGUAAUCCCGACAAUACUCUAUGAGUUUAUAUUGCAGGGGAUUUAGUCUGGACUGGUAAUCCCGCUGCAAGGUUGAGGUUCGCGGGAGUGUGCUCUCUGAAAUGGAUAUGUGCACACAUGAAUAUGAAUUGACGGACCCGGAAAUAUACACUUAAAGUGUAUCUCUGAAAAUCCAUCGAAAAUUCCAAGAAAUUCAACGGGAUAAAUAUGGAAAAAUAACAAGAAAAUGGAAAUCAUGGUAUUGACGAGCUCAUCAAUCAUGGUAUAUAUUAUUGGUACAUGGAAAUUAUUGUACUAACUUGAAUGUUGAGUUUGUGCGUAUUAGGGUAAUAAUGCAUUGAAUGGAUAUAUGGAUGUUUAUUGUAUUGUAUUGAAAAUAUUAGGUAAGUAUAAUUCUUGUUACAUGAGCUUACUAAGCACGAAGUGCUUACCCCGUUUCCUUUUUCCCUGUUUUGUAGUGUUAAGAGCUCGGAGGUCGGAUUUGGUUGGAGACACAUCACACUGUCAACCUCAGGAUUUCGGUAUAUAAAGAAACUUUAUUUUGGAAAUCAAUGGCAUGUAUAAGCUAACAAAGUAAAUGUUAACGUGAAAUGAAUGUAAAGUUAGCCAUUAGUAUGGUUAACAAACCUGGUUAUAGAUAUGUGAUGACGUUAUCUUAUAUAAAUGCAUGAAUCUAUCAUGAAAAUAUGUUGAAUUGAUUUGGUUGAUGUGGACUGGUCUCGAUUUAAUAUUACAGGAAAGGUUAGAUAUUUAUAAAAGGGCUGUAUUGAAUAUAAAAAAAAAUUUAAUUCGUAAACUCCGGUAAUGCCUCGUACCCUAUUCCGGCAAUGAGUACGGGUAGGGGUAUUACACUCGAAUUACUAAAUACGGAAUAUUUACUUUUAUGAGAAAAUUAUUAAUGUUUUGAGUAAAAUCGUGAUUUAUAGUAAACAUAAAAGCAAAUUAAUAUGAAUAAUAACAUAAUGACGGGUGCGAUAGUGUCAAAAGCAAUAAUAUGAACAGUUGUAAAAGAUGAUAUAAUGACGAGGCUAAGCAAAUGUAAAUACAUAUGUGAGGAAAAAAAUGAAAUGAUCGAACGCGCAAGCAAAUAAAUAAAUAAAUAAUGGUAACAUAAAAUGAUAAUGAAAACAAUAAUAAUGAUUAUAUGUACUAAAGUAUAUGCAUGAUAAUAAAAGUAAGAAGAAAUAUAGAAACAUAUAUAUACAUAAUAAUAAUAUUACAAGGUACAUAUGCAUAAUAUAGAAUAUAUACGCAAUAUAAAAUUACAUAGUAUAUAUAUAUUAAUAAUAAUGCAACCAAUGAAUGACUUAAGGCUUGAAAGAAUUUACGACGGUAUAAAUAGGUGAUGAAACGAUAAUACCGUGGGUAAUGAUAUAUAUAAGCGAAAUAUGUACGCAAAAAUGUGUAUAUAUUAUUAGUUAGUGUAAAAACAAUAGCGUAUAGAUAAUUAUAUAAAAAUGUUAUAAAAAUAAUAAUAUCAUAGUGAUGGUAUUGGAAGGAAUAAUAAUAGUAAUAAUACAGAGAUAAUGAUAAUAAUAAAGAAACAUUGUAUAAAUAUAUAUUGAAAUUAAAUAUGUGAUAAUAUUAAAUGUUUAUACAUAAUAUGUACGUGAAAUACAAAACAAAGUAUACACAUAAUAUAUUAAAACAUAUACAUGACCUACAUAAUAUACAUUAUAGAACAUAAUAUGAUAUUUACAACAUAUAAAACUAUAAUAAAAUGAUAUACAUAAUAUAAUAUUAAUUUACAUGGGCAUAAUAUGAAGUAUAACAUAUAAAUUAAAAGUAUGUAUAUAUGACACGAAUGUAUUUAACAAAACAAUAAUAUCAAAAACUAAUAAUAAUAAUAAUAAAUAAAUAUAUAAGUAUAUAUGUUAAAGAUAUAUAAUAAAUAUUAAUAAUAUAGAGGUAAAAAUAGAUAUAACAAAAUGUACAUAAUAGAAUAUUUGAAUAUAUAUACAUAAAACAUAUAUUAGGAACAAUAAUAAUAUAUAAAACAACUAUAAGAAUAUAUAUAAUAUGUAUAUAUAUAGUAUUAAUUUAAAAUGGGCUAAAUAAUAAUAAAAUAUGCUAAAAAUAAUAAUACAAGAAUGGUACAAUAGAAUAAUGAAUAAUAUUAAAAUAAUAAAGAGUAAAAAUAAUAUAGAAACUGUAUUAAAUAGGAGAAAGGGACUAAAUUGAAACAAAUAUUAAGUUUUGGGGCCGAUUUAAAAAACUAAUAAAGAGAAGGGACUAAUUUGAAAGUGCAAAUAACAUACGAGGUCCAAAAGGGCAAUUUACCCGAGCCCUUGAAACGGUGUCGCUGAAGGGAGGACCAACUUGCAAAAUGCGAUAACCUCGGGGCUAAUUUAAAAGAAUUAAAAACUUGAUUGCAAAGCAUGUAAAAACCAGAAGGACUGCGCAAGCAAUUAGACCAUGCUUGCAAAAACACGCGGAUCCUUCUGUGGAGCGGGCCGGGUUUCGGGUCGGCGCUUAAAACGGCACCGUUUUUGUGUUUUAAAAUGGCCGGGCAAAACGGUGCGUUUUGCCCGCCUAUAUAACCCAUUUAUUUUUAUUUUUAUUUUCAUUUCUCCUCUCCCUUUAAAAAAACUCCUAAACUCCUCUCUCUCUCGGUCUGCCAGCCCAAAAGCCGACGAGGUGUAGGCCGGUCGCCGCCGUGCCGUUCGCCGUGCCGGCCACCGUGGAGAUGAAAAAUGGUAAGAAAUUUUACAUUUUUUUAUUUUUAAAACGUAUAUAUAUGUAUAUGCGGGCAAAAUUGGUUAAAAAGAAAGAAAAAGAAAGAAGAUGAGGAUGAAUCACCUUCGACUGUUUAUCUUUCUACUCUGUUUGGACUGUUUUUGUUGUUUUAGAUUGCUAGAGAUUCUCUGCUUGAAAUCGAAUGAUGUUUGUUUUUUAUUUUCACAAAAAAAAUGCUGAACUUUCAAAUGGUUUUGGAUUCGGCUUUAUAUAGCCAUUACAAAUCCUUUUUUACAUUGUCUUUUCUUUGCAGGAAAAUGGGCGGUGGAGCAGAGGCCAUUUGCACUGUUGACAUGACUGGGGCGGUGGGAGUCAGAGGCGGUGGAGGCAAGUGGUGAUGGGACGGUGCUAAUUAGGCUAGGGUUCUUUGUUUUGUGUUUGGGUUGGGUUAGUGUUUUGGGUAAAUUGGGUUAGGGGAUAUUUGUUGUAGCAUACUAUUAGAUAUCAUGUUUUCAAGCCCUAUUUAUAUAGUAUAGACCCUACUGAGCGGCUAAAUACGCAUCAUAGAUCAAUACGGCCUUAGGUGAAAUUUUCCAAAAAAGGGCCCACAUGCCCGUGUGGCCAACACAGGCCAAUUGGCCCAAAUAGCCCAGCUCGUGUGGUCCACACGGUCUAACACACAGUCGUGUAAUGCCAGUAGUGGAUUUUUCGACUUUCUGCCGUUUGUGUUUUUUACGGGAUCGAGUCGCACACCUAGUUAGUUUCCGGUGUAGAUUCAAGAACUGAGUACAAUUCACACAAAUUAAUUAGCAUGCUUUUUACCAACC
rnacentral:lncRNA from 1 species